rnacentral:rRNA from 1 species
CAGUAGCCACGGGAAAACGGAGGGGGCUAGCGUUGUUCGGAAUUACUGGGCGUAAAGCGCACGUAGGCGGCUUGGUAAGUUAGAGGUGAAAGCCUGGAGCUCAACUCCAGAAUUGCCUUUAAGACUGCCGAGCUAGCAGGUGAGAGAGGUAAGUGGAAUUCCGAGUGUAGAGGUGAAAUUCGUAGAUAUUCGGAAGAACACCAGUGGCGAAGGCGGCUUACUGGCUCAUACUGGACGCUGAGGUGCGAAAGCGUGGGGAGCAAACAGGAUUAGAUACCCGGGUAGUCCCUGUCUCUUAUAC